rnacentral:rRNA from 1 species
UACGUAGGGUGCGAGCGUUAAUCGGAAUUACUGGGCGUAAAGCGUGCGCAGGCGGUUCGUUAAGUCAGAUGUGAAAGCCCCGGGCUCAACCUGGGAACGGCAUUUGAAACUGGCGGGCUGGAGUGUGGCAGAGGGGGGUGGAAUUCCGCGUGUAGCAGUGAAAUGCGUAGAUAUGCGGAGGAACACCGAUGGCGAAGGCAAUCCCCUGGGCCUGCACUGACGCUCAUGCACGAAAGCGUGGGGAGCAAACAGG